rnacentral:rRNA from 1 species
GACGAACGCUGGCGGCGUGCUUAACACAUGCAAGUCGAACGGUAAGGCCCUUCGGGGUACACGAGUGGCGAACGGGUGAGUAACACGUGGGUGAUCUGCCCUGCACUUCGGGAUAAGCCUGGGAAACUGGGUCUAAUACCGGAUAGGACCACUGCCUGCAUGGGUGGUGGUGGAAAGCUUUUGCGGUGUGGGAUGGGCCCGCGGCCUAUCAGCUUGUUGGUGGGGUGAUGGCCUACCAAGGCGACGACGGGUAGCCGGCCUGAGGGUGACCGGCCACACUGGGACUGAGAUACGGCCCAGACUCCUACGGGAGGCAGCAGUGGGGAAUAUUGCACAAUGGGCGCAAGCCUGAUGCAGCGACGCCGCGUGAGGGAUGACGGCCUUCGGGUUGUAAACCUCUUUCGAUGGGGAAGAAAUGUCCAAUUAAUACUUGGAAGCUGACGGUACCCAGAGAAGAAGCCACGGCCAACUCCGUGC